rnacentral:tRNA from 1 species
UGGCUCAGUGGUUAAAGCACUUGGUUGCUAACCAAAAGGUCUGUGGUUCAAAUCCACC